AUUGAACGCUGGCGGCAGGCCUAACACAUGCAAGUCGAGCGAGCGGAGGACGGGUGAGUAAUGUCUGGGAAACUGCCAGAUGGAGGGGGAUAACUACUGGAAACGGUAGCUAAUACCGCAUCCCAUCAGCUGUGCCCAGAUGGGAUUUGCUAGUAGUUGGGGUAACGGCUCACCUAGGCGCCGAUCCCUAGCUGUUCUGAGAGGGUGACAAGCCACACUGUAACUGGGACAAGGGCCAUACUCCUACGGUAGGUAGCAGUGGGGAUUAUUGCACAAUGGGCGCAAGCCUGAUGCAGCCAUGCCGCGUGUGUGAAGAAGGCCUUCGGGUUUUAAAGCACUUUCAGCGGGGAGGCGUUACCCGCAGAAGAAGCACCGGCUAACUCCGUGCCAGCCGCCGCGGUAAUAC
rnacentral:rRNA from 1 species